rnacentral:lncRNA from 1 species
AGGCCAAGAAGAAGAGGUGUAUUUCGUGUCAAAAUGCGUUUAAUGUAAGAAUUGUUUCUAACUCGUGAGAACUAUUUGUUUGUGUCAUAUGUAAGAUGCUUAGAAUCUCAACUUGAGAAUGAUUCACAUGCUUCUAGAAUUCAAUGAUUCACAUGCAUGAAUUAUGUUCCAAUGGAGCACUAGAGGAAGUUUCUCUUCAUACGCCGCCUCUCACACGUGUUUAGACUAUAUAGAGGUGAAUGAAGGGUAAAAUAAAAAAUAAAUAAAAGAAAAAAAGCCUUUAUAAGAUUCCGUUUGGCAGGUUUUAG